rnacentral:rRNA from 1 species
UACGUAGGGGGCAAGCGUUGUCCGGAAUCAUUGGGCGUAAAGCGCGCGUAGGCGGCCCGAUAAGUCCGCUGUGAAAGUCAAAGGCUCAACCUUUGAAUGCCGGUGGAUACUGUCGGGCUAGAGUCCGGAAGAGGCGAGUGGAAUUCCUGGUGGUAGCGGUGGAAUGCGCAGAUAUCAGGAGGAACACCGAUAGCGAAGGCAGCUCGCUGGGACGGUACUGACGCUGAGACGCGAAAGCGUGGGGAGCGAACAGG